rnacentral:lncRNA from 1 species
CUUUCUUUCUCUUUUAUAGACAAAAGUCUGAACUGUAGGAAAAAAGGUCAUGAGUCAUGAUCCAAGGUGGAAUAAUGGAGAUGAAAUAAACAAGGCAAAACGGGCGGAAACAGAACGAAAUCAUUUACCAAGACUGCAAAAUGGAAUGUGGCUUCUAUCCUUUCUUGAUCUAAAAUGUGACCAACAGUGAUCUGUUGUACAAAGUAUUUUACCGGGGAGAUGAUGACCUCUCCUUUUUUUCUGUGGAUCAGUGCUAUUUUGUGUGCAAAUGAAAAUAAUUCUCAGUGUAAGAUAGUCAGAUCAUCUCAGCAGUGAGCACACUAACAGAACUGAGUUCCAGAAGGAAGCAGUUUCUGGUGCUUUGCAUACAUCCAUAUCCAUGCAAGCUGGAACAAGUUCCAAUGCACACUUCCCAUGCUUCUGAGUCUAGGCAUUGCGGUGAAUAUUCAGGAGUCAUUCAUGAGGCAGAAUGUAUUUUAUUGUAUGACAGAAGGGUGUCUUUCCAAGCAAACUAUGGUAAGCAUAGUGUUGAAUAUGUUGCAUGUCGUGUUAGAAAACAGAAUCCAGUCAUCAGCUAAUACAAACGAUUUCUCAGAGCAGUGUUUGUUUCAAGCUUCUGUCAAAUAGUAUGGCUUUUCUGCAGGGUCCCUGUGAUUUCUCACCAAUGUACUUUCUUUGUGAACUUCCUUACUGUUAUGGUGUAACUCAGGAAAAGAUGGAUGGAGAGAGGAAUAAAAUCUGAAAAGACUUUUCUUGGAUUCACACAUUUGAGGGGUCCUGAGAGGUGAGGGGAUUCCUUUUGUGAGGAUUACCUGAAUGAAGAGAGAGGGCUACCUAACUGCAUUGUAUAUUAACAUGAUUAUUGGCAUGUUGUUUACUAUCAUAUUAUACAAGGGUGCAUUGAGCCCACGGGGCUGGUCCCUAUACUGUAUGUUAUAAGGAAGACGUGGGCAAAAUAGGUUUACACGGAGGGUGGUGGUACUUCUGGAGACGGAGCGUAAAUAUGUACAUUCAACUGAGUUAUGUGAACUGGAGGUCACCUGCACCCCUGUUGACGGAUGCUCCAGAACACCACCCUGUUUCAUCUAUAUAGAGUUU